rnacentral:lncRNA from 1 species
AGAAAAAGCGGGUCGGGCAGCGCCGGCGGGGGAGGCCGAGGCCCCAACUCCUGCGUCCCGGCCACCCGGAGGCGGUUUGGCUGCAGUCUAGGCAGUUUAUCUGUUGUUCCCACUCCGACUCUUUCUGGAUCUCGCCUCCCCUCCUGUCCCCUCCCUCUGCUAAGGUCGGGAAGGGGCAGGGAACACUUUCCUGUCACCUAAGGAAUUUACCUUCAGGCGGAGAGUAACCCAACACAGCCCACACGGGGCCGCGAGCCUGCCCACAGGCCUCGGGCAACCUGGGACUCUGCACCAGCAUAGUUAAAGUUUCAAAAGCUAAGCAGGAAUUGGAAGCAAAGAAGUUAGGGAUACCUGCAACUAUCUGAAGACACAAAUCUCCACAACUGAAGUUUGUACAGCCUGAAUGUACCAGACCCAUCUUUGGAACUCCGAGAAAAAAUGUGUAUCUCACACGUAAGUAGCAUUGUAUGAAUGUGUGUUGAACUGAAUUUUCCCACCCU